AGUUAUUUAUUGCUUUAAACUCAGCUAGGAAGAUUUUUCCAUUAUAAAGUGAUCAUACAAGCUUUUCUUUUCAAUAUGAAAAAACAGUUUUCAGUCUUUUAAAUUGUCAAAAAUAUGUUCCAAAUUCUCAAAUUAGUUUAUGCUAUGAUUCUUCUUCUUUUCCUCUUUCUUAUUGUAACCGAUGCUAAUUGUUAUGAGUGUAUCCGUCCUCAAUUCAUGGUCUGCAAUUUGCGAGGGUGUCGUUGUGGAACAUGGGAGGACACUUAAGUUUAGAAAUAAUGCUUUGAGUAAUUGUUAUCAUGCAAGUUUUGUAUCCUUUGUUUAUUUUUUGAAUAAUAGGAAAUCUAAUGACAUCACUUCAUAAUUACAAUUGUCUGUUUAAAUAUAGACAAUAUGCUUACAUGAAUUAGUUCUUUUUAUUAUACUUUUAUAAAAUGGAUAAGUAUUUGAAAA